rnacentral:rRNA from 1 species
AACGAACGCUGGCGGCAGGCCUAACACAUGCAAGUCGAACGCCCUAGCAAUAGGGAGUGGCAGACGGGUGAGUAACACGUGGGAACCUUCCCUGUAGUACGGAAUAGCCCAGGGAAACUUGGAGUAAUACCGUAUACGCCCGAAAGGGGAAAGAUUUAUCGCUAUAGGAUGGGCCCGCGUAGGAUUAGCUAGUUGGUGAGGUAAUGGCUCACCAAGGCGACGAUCCUUAGCUGGUUUGAGAGAACGACCAGCCACACUGGGACUGAGACACGGCCCAGACUCCUACGGGAGGCAGCAGUGGGGAAUAUAGGACAAUGGGCGCAAGCCUGAUCCAGCCAUGCCGCGUGAGUGAUGAAGGCCUUAGGGUUGUAAAGCUCUUUUGGCGGGACGAUAAUGACGGUACCCGCAGAAUAAGUCCCGGCUAACUUCGUGCCAGCCGCCGCCGU